CCUGGUUGAUCCUGCCAGUAGUGAUAUGCUUGUCUCAAAGAUUAAGCCAUGCAUGUCUGAGUACAGACCGAUCUAAGGUGAAACCGCGAAUGGCUCAUUAAAUCAGUCAUAAUUCCUUGGAUAGUGACCAAAUUCCUCGGAUAACUGUGGAAAAUCCAGAGCUAAUACGUGCAACUGAGCUCCGACCUAGGCGCGAGCCUUGGGAAGAGCGCAUUUAUUAGAUUCAAAACUGACCGGUGUACUCCUUCGGGAUGCGCCGUUUGUCUAAAGUUUGAUGACUCCGGAUAACUUAGCCGAGCGCUACGGUCUUUGUACCGGCGCCGUAUCUUUCAAGUGUCUGCCUUAUCAGCUUUCGAUUGUAGGUUAAACGCCUACAAUGGCUGUAACGGGUAACGGGGAAUCAGGGUUCGAUUCCGGAGAGGGAGCCUGAGAAACGGCUACCACAUCUAAGGAAGGCAGCAGGCACGCAAAUUACCCACUCCCAGCCCGGGGAGGUAGUGACGAAAAAUAACGAUGCGAGACUCUUCCGAGGCCUCGCAAUCGGAAUGAGUCCAUUUUAAAUGUUUGGACGAGGAUCCAUUGGAGGGCAAGUCUGGUGCCAGCAGCCGCGGUAAUUCCAGCUCCAAUAGCGUAUAUUAAAGUUGCUGCGGUUAAAAAGCUCGUAGUUGGACUUCCUAGAUCCAAUUCGCGGAUGAGUCGCUCGUCGAAUUAACGUCCCGGGCCAGUCACUGGACGAAGUUAUUGUGUCCGUCUCGCGCGCGUUUGUAUCGCCGUUCGUAAUUUAUUGCGUCGGUUUUAUUUCGUGCGCGUGUUCGCGUCCUCCAAUUUCCGAGUCUAGCGGACGACGGGCUCGUUGUCUUCGAGUAUCGCUCGUUCGCGUUUGGUACAAUUAAAAUUUUGUCGGCUCGCUCGGAGUGCUCUUUACCGAGUGUUCCAGGGUGGCCGACACGUUCACUUUGAAAAAAUUAGAGUGCUUAAAGCAGCCUUGUAGUCGGCCUGAAUGUCUGUGCAUGGAAUGAAGUAACAGGACCUCGAUUCUGUUGUUUUUGUCGGUUUUAUUGAACCGAGGUAAUGAUUAAAAGGGACAGACGGUGGCAUUAGUAUUGUGGCGCUAGAGGUGAAAUUCUUGGACCGCCGCAAGACUAACUACUGCGAAAGCAUUUGCCGAGAAUGUUUUCAUUAAUCAAGAACGAAAGUUAGAGGAUCGAAGGCGAUCAGAUACCGCCCUAGUUCUAACCCUAAACUAUGCUAACUAGCGAUCCGCCGGAGUCAUUCCCACGACCCGGCGGGAAGCCCCAGGGAAACCAAAGUCUUUGAGUUCCGGGGGAAGUAUGGUUGCAAAGCUGAAACUUAAAGGAAUUGACGGAAGGCACCACCAGGAGUGGAGUGCGGCUUAAUUUGACUCAACACGGGAAACCUCACCAGGCCCGGACAUCAUUAGGAUUGACAGGUUGAGAGCUCUUUCUCGAUUUGAUGGGUGGUGGUGCAUGGCCGUUCUUAGUUGGUGGAGUGAUCUGUCUGGUUGAUUCCGAUAACGAACGAGACUCUACCCUACUAACUAGUCGGCGGAUCGUAACCCUGAGAUGGUUAGUUUGUUGGAUGGCGGUGUGUAGAGAUGAAUGUCCGUUGGCGUUCGUUGCAAGGGAGGCGCUCUAUAUUAAAGCGUUCGGUUUUAUCGUCAUCAUUCGUGGUGGCGGUGGAUCGUGCGUUUGUGUGGAUGUCGUUUUUCGUGUGACUGCGUUACCGGCUUCGUCGAAGCUACCGUCUGAUUACUGCUACUGCUGGGGGCGUCCGUCGCAAUGUAUCUUCUUAGAGGGAUCAGCGGCGUAUAGCCGCACGAGAAAGAGCAAUAACAGGUCUGUGAUGCCCUUAGAUGUUCUGGGCCGCACGCGCGCUACAAUGUAGAGAUCAGCGUGCUUUCCCUCUCCGAAAGGAGCGGGUAACCCGUUGAAACCCCUACCCGAUUGGGAUUGGGGAUUGCAAAUAUUUCCCAUAAACGAGGAAUUCCCAGUAAGCGCGAAUCAUUAAUUCGCGCUGAUUACGUCCCUGCCCUUUGUACACACCGCCCGUCGCUACUACCGAUUGAAUGAUUCAGUGAGGGCAUCGGACUGGCGCCUUCGGUUUAGUAACAUAGACCUUAGGCUGACGGAAAGAUGUCCGAACUUGAUCAUUUAGAGGAAGUAAAAGUCGUAACAAGGUUUCCGUAGUGAACCUGCGGAAGGA
rnacentral:rRNA from 1 species